GGAAAACUACAAGGAUUCCCCUAGUAACGGCGAGCGAAGCGGGAAGAGCUCAAAUUUGAAAGCUGGCGUCUUCGGCGUCCGCGUUGUAAUCUCGAGACGUGUUUUCCGUGCGGCUCUAUGGACAAGUCCCUUGGAACAGGGCAUCGUAGAGGUGAAAAUCCCGUACUUGCCAUGGAAGUACCGUGCUUUGUGAUACACGCUCCAAGAGUCGAGUAGUUUGGGAUUGCUGCUCAAAGUGGUGGUAGACUCCAUCUAAAGCUAAAUAUCGGGGAGAGACCGAUAGCGAACAAGUACCGUGAGGGAAAGAUGAAAAGCACUUUGGAAAGAGAGUUAAAAGUACGUGAAAUUGUCGAAAGGGAAGCACUUGAAGUCAGCCAUGCUGCUUGAGACUCAGCCUGGCUUUUGCUUGGUGUAUUUCUCGGUAGCAAGCCAGCAUUGGUUUGUGUCGUCGGAGAAGCGCGUGGGGAAUGUGGCAUCCUCGGAUGUGUUAUAGCCCUGUGCAGGAUACGACGACGUAGACCAAGGGUCGACGCGGCCG
rnacentral:rRNA from 1 species